rnacentral:rRNA from 1 species
UACGGAGGAUGCGAGCGUUAUCCGGAUUUAUUGGGUUUAAAGGGUGCGUAGGCGGAACAUUAAGUCAGCGGUAAAAUCGAGGGGCUCAACCCCUUUAAGCCGUUGAAACUGGUGAUCUUGAGUGGGCGAGAAGUAGGCGGAAUGCGCAGUGUAGCGGUGAAAUGCUUAGAUAUUGCGCAGAACUCCGAUUGCGAAGGCAGCCUACCGGCUUCUGUCUGACGCUGAGGCACGAAAGCGUGGGUAUCGAACAGG